GAUGAACGCUGGCGGCGUGCUUAACACAUGCAAGUCGAACGAAGCAUUUAGAACGGAUUACUUCGGUUUGAAGUUCUUUAUGACUGAGUGGCGGACGGGUGAGUAACGCGUGGGUAACCUGACUUGUACUGGGGGAUAGCAGCUGGAAACGGCUGGUAAUACCGCAUAAGCGCACAAUGUUGCAUGACAUGGUGUGAAAAACUCCGGUGGUAUAAGAUGGACCCGCUUCUGAUUAGCUAGUUGGUGAGAUAACAGCCCACCAAGGCGACGAUCAGUAGCCGACCUGUGAGGGUGACCGGCCACAUUGGGACUGAGACACGGCCCAGACUCCUACGGGAGGCAGCAGUGGGGAAUAUUGCACAAUGGAGGAAACUCUGAUGCAGCGACGCCGCGUGAGUGAAGAAGUAAUUCGUUAUGUAAAGCUCUAUCAGCAGGGAAGAUAGUGACGGUACCUGACUAAGAAGCUCCGGCUAAAUACGUGCCAGCCGCCGCGGUAA
rnacentral:rRNA from 1 species